UACGUAGGGGGCAAGCGUUGUCCGGAUUUAUUGAGCGUGAAGAGCGUGUAGGCGGUUAGGUAGGUCCGUUGUGAAAACUCGAGGCUCAACCUCGAGACGCCGAUGGAAACCAUCUGACUAGAGUCCGGAAGAGGAGAGUGGAAUUCCUGGUGUAGCGGUGAAAUGCGCAGAUAUCAGGAAGAACACCCGUGGCUAAGGCGGCUCUCUAGUACGUGACUGACGCUGAGACGCGAAAGCGUGGGGAGCGAACAGG
rnacentral:rRNA from 1 species